CUAGCGCAAUGGGAUCCUGGUCUGUGACUGGGAUUAUGAGGCAGUUCUGCAAUACAAAUAAUCACAUGCUGAUCUACAGAAAUACUUUUGUACCCUGGCCAUCCCCACUGGCUUAAGAGAUUAGUCACUAAAAAUGAAAAUAUGUGAACUUGACAUCUGCAGUUUAACUCAGUCCCCUCUUCUCCUGCACUGAGUGUUCUUUCUACUCAGUACAUGCUGUCUGAACACACAGCACAACCGUGAUGGAUGGUGACAAAAAGCCUGGAGACUUUUUUCCCAUUUGAUGGGUCUUGUGAUGUCCUGGGUCAUGUAUAUGGACCUGGAGAAGAAAGAGGAGGUGACAUUCAUUUGGAUGAAGAGGAAUUUUGGACAAUGGAUUAUGUCUGGAAAAGCAGGAGUUCUGUUUCACUGAUCAGCUCUCCUCCCGAAGUGCAGUGAAGCAACAAGCAUUAGCUUUAGGCUCUUAUGGCAACUUUUUAUACAAUGGAUUUCGUUGCAUAUGUUCCUCUUGCUCAUGCCACCAUGGAAAUAGGUAACACAUGGUUACAAGCCAAGUAUGAUUAAAAAAAAAAAAGGAUUGCCUCAGGUUAGGCUGUUGAGUUCAUAUCUAGGUCCCCAAAUAAAUGGCUUGACUUAUACCAGCACUGAGUAACAACAACACCACCACCAAAAGAGUCUCAGCUUACUGUAAGCACUGAUUUAGCUGAGUUCUCUAUCAAUCUUGGCAUUAAAUGGCAAACAGUUACCAAUCAUCUGUUAAAAGGUAAAAAGGUAACAUGGUUCCUAAAAAAAAAAAAAAAAUGUGGAAAACUGGACUAUUCAUAUUAUACACGCAAAUGGGAACAUGUUAAGAAUUGCCACUGCAGAAAAGCAUAACAGCUUACCAUUGGUAUAACGUUUUCUGGAUGGUCUCCCACAACUACUGGCAUGCUAAUGUUACUACCCCUAAUUGUUUUUGGUUUUAAAUUGUAUGUGUUUAAUUGAAAUGUUUAAAAUGUGCUGGUGGAUAAAACAAACGUAUGUAAAGCUAAAGCCAAAGGCCCAAAUCACCUCCCAGUAUUUUCUAUUACAUGGACUAAAUAAGAAGUGACACUAGCGAUUAAUAAUCUUAGUGUCAAAAGGGGGAUAUGUAGGAGCAGGAUUUUAUAAUGUCCCAUAAGAAUUGAAGUAUAAUUUGAUUUCAUCCUGCUAGCCACCUUUUUUAAAUAGCAGAAAGAACUGACCCCCUGGGACUAAAAGAUUCUGUUUUCCCAUAUGCAUUACAAAUUGGGCCCUCUCUAACUCUUUGUUUUAAGAUUUAGGUAGUAAGAGACAGGAUUCUCUAUUGUGUCUAUGUUAAGUAAAUUAGAGAAACAUUGAAGGCCUGGGUCUCAAUGUAAAUUGUCUUGGUUAUCAAUUGUAAAACCUAGCAAGGUUUAAUUUGCAAUGCUUUUUUGUUCUAUAUAAA
rnacentral:lncRNA from 1 species